UACGCAGGGUGCAAGCGUUAAUCGGAAUUACUGGGCGUAAAGCGUGCGCAGGCGGUGAUGUAAGACAGUUGUGAAAUCCCCGGGCUCAACCUGGGAACUGCAUCUGUGACUGCAUCGCUGGAGUACGGUAGAGGGGGAUGGAAUUCCGCGUGUAGCAGUGAAAUGCGUAGAUAUGCGGAGGAACACCGAUGGCGAAGGCAAUCCCCUGGACCUGUACUGACGCUCAUGCACGAAAGCGUGGGGAGCAAACAGG
rnacentral:rRNA from 1 species